UGACCCCAGGUCAGGCGGGACUACCCGCUGAGUUUAAGCAUAUCAAUAAGCGGAGGAAAAAGAAACUUACGAGGAUUCCCUCUAGUAACGGCGAGCGAACCGGGAACAGCCCAGCUUGAAAAUAUAGCGGCUACGCCGUUUGAAUUGUAGUCUGGAGAAGCAUCCAA
rnacentral:rRNA from 1 species